rnacentral:rRNA from 1 species
GACGAACGCUGGCGGCGUGCUUAACACAUGCAAGUCGAACGGAAAGGCCCUGCUUUUGUGGGGUGCUCGAGUGGCGAACGGGUGAGUAACACGUGAGUAACCUGCCCUUGACUUUGGGAUAACUUCAGGAAACUGGGGCUAAUACCGGAUAGGAGCUCCUGCUGCAUGGUGGGGGUUGGAAAGUUUCGGCGGUUGGGGAUGGACUCGCGGCUUAUCAGCUUGUUGGUGGGGUAGUGGCUUACCAAGGCUUUGACGGGUAGCCGGCCUGAGAGGGUGACCGGCGACAUUGGGACUGAGAUACGGCCCAGACUCCUACGGGAGGCAGCAGUGGGGAAUAUGGCACAAUGGGCGGAAGCCUGAUGCAGCAACGCCGCGUGCGGGAUGACGGCCUUCGGGUUGUAAACCGCUUUCGCCUGUGACGAAGCGUGAGUGACGGUAAUGGGUAAAGAAGCACCGGCUAACUACGUG